AUUGAACGCUGGCGGCAGGCCUAACACAUGCAAGUCGAACGGUAACAGGAAGAAGCUUGCUUCUUUGCUGACGAGUGGCGGACGGGUGAGUAAUGUCUGGGAAACUGCCUGAUGGAGGGGGAUAACUACUGGAAACGGUAGCUAAUACCGCAUAACGUCGCAAGACCAAAGAGGGGGACCUUCGGGCCUCUUGCCAUCGGAUGUGCCCAGAUGGGAUUAGCUAGUAGGUGGGGUAACGGCUCACCUGGGCGACGAUCCCUAGCUGGUCUGAGAGGAUGACCAGCCACACUGGAACUGAGACACGGUCCAGACUCCUACGGGAGGCAGCAGUGGGGAAUAUUGCACAAUGGGCGCAAGCCUGAUGCAGCCAUGCCGCGUGUAUGAAGAAGGCCUUCGGGUUGUAAAGUACUUUCAGCGGGGAGGAAGGGAGUAAAGUUAAUACCUUUGCUCAUUGACGUUACCCGCAGAAGAAGCACCGGCUAACUCCGUG
rnacentral:rRNA from 1 species